rnacentral:rRNA from 1 species
UACGUAGGGUCCGAGCGUUGUCCGGAAUUAUUGGGCGUAAAGAGCUCGUAGGCGGUUUGUCGCGUCUGCUGUGAAAUCCCGAGGCUCAACCUCGGGCCUGCAGUGGGUACGGGCAGACUGGAGUGCGGUAGGGGAGAAUGGAAUUCCUGGUGUAGCGGUGAAAUGCGCAGAUAUCAGGAGGAACACCGGUGGCGAAGGCGGGUCUCUGGGCCGAUACUGACGCUGAGGAGCGAAAGCGUGGGGAGCAAACAGG